rnacentral:rRNA from 1 species
CACCUCCUGUAAACAAAAUAUAGGAGGCACUGCCUGCCCAGUGACCCCUGUUCAACGGCCGCGGUAUCCUAACCGUGCAAAGGUAGCGUAAUCACUUGUCUUUUAAUUGAAGACCUGUAUGAAUGGCAAAACGAGGGCUUAACUGUCUCCUCAUUAAAGUCAAUAAAAUUGAUCCCCCCGUGCAGAAGCGGGGAUAACACCAUAAGACGAGAAGACCCUGUGGAGCUUUAGGCGCUAAAGCAGCCCAUAAACUUAGCCUUGUCAUAAUCAAACAUCAACUAAAUGAGUCCCUGCUUCCUUGCCUUCGGUUGGGGCGACCAGGAGAAACUAAAUAACUCCCCCGAGGUUUGAGGGUACACUCCCUCAAAAUUAAGAGCCACACCUCUAACAAAUAGAAUUUCUAACUAGAUAGAUCCGGGACACCCGAUCUACGAACAAAGUUACCCCAGGGAUAACAGCGCAAUCCUCUUUCAGAGCCCAUAUCGACAAGAGGGUUUACGACCUCGAUGUUGGAUCAGGACACCCCAAUGGUGCAGCCGCUAUUAAAGGUUCGUUUGUUCAACGAUUAAAGUCCU